CUACGGGGUGCAGCAGGCGAGAAAACUUUGCAAUGUGCGAAAGCACGACAAGGUUAAUCCGAGUGGUUUCUGCUAAAGAAACCUUUUGUCAGUCCUAGAAACACUGAUGAAUAAGGGGUGGGCAAGUUCUGGUGUCAGCCGCCGCGGUAAAACCAGCACCUCAAGUGGUCAGGAUGAUUAUUGGGCCUAAAGCAUCCGUAGCUCGUUUUGUAAGUUUUCGGUUAAAUCCAUGCGCUUAACGUAUGGGCUGCCGGGAAUACUGCAUAACUAGGAAGUGGGAGAGGUAGACGGUACUCGGUAGGAAGGGGUAAAAUCCUUUGAUCUAUUGAUGACCACCUGUGGCGAAGGCGGUCUACCAGAACACGUUCGACGGUGAGGGAUGAAAGCUGGGGGAGCAAACCGGAUUAGAUACCCCGGUAGUC
rnacentral:rRNA from 1 species